UACGUAGGGUGCAAGCGUUAAUCGGAAUUACUGGGCGUAAAGCGUGCGCAGGCGGUGAUGUAAGACAGGUGUGAAAUCCCCGGGCUUAACCUGGGAACUGCAUUUGUGACUGCAUCGCUGGAGUGCGGCAGAGGGGGAUGGAAUUCCGCGUGUAGCAGUGAAAUGCGUAGAUAUGCGGAGGAACACCGAUGGCGAAGGCGGCCCCCUGGACCGGUACUGACGCUGAGGCGCGAAAGCGUGGGUAGCAAACGGG
rnacentral:rRNA from 1 species